UGAGGAGUUGCUGGCUGGGACCCAGCUCUAGCUCCGACUAUAGCAAGGCCUCAUCCCCAACGCUCGGCAACCGAUGCAUGACAACACAAGCUCAGGGCUGCUUUAAGGCUUUGGGUGCUGGGGAGUGGUGGGUUUCACUGUGAAGGCUGUUUGAGCCUUAAAUCUGCACGGACUGAGGAAGGGUUAAGGUAUCCGACUACACUUGCUUCCACAACUCCCCCACCCCUGAGAGCCCUGCAUUCAGAUGUGGUAGCAAUGAAGACGAGAAGCCAGAGCAGAAAUCCCCCUGAUCCUUGUUAAACACUGGGAGACCGUGUUAUUCCCACAUUACGGUGCAGCGGUACAUAGAGCAUUAGUGCCAGGCUGAUUUGAAAUCAUAUGGUGUCUUACUGAAAAGAGUGUCAAUGAAGGUGGAUGGUGUCUUCGCUUUACUGUCUGAGUGCUAAAUAAAGGUCUACGCAAAGCAUGUUUGAUAAAUGUAUUUUAUCUAUUGAUCCGUUUUUGACUUUUAUGAAUUCUUGAAAGUAUUUUGCUAAUGUUUUUUACACAGAAGCCUAUUCAUGAUCAGAUUUUGUGGUGGUAUUUCAACAGAAAUAUUUAAUGCUUUGUUGGACAAAAAUGUCACAACAACAUUGUGUCAAUAAUGCAAUUAUUAAUAUUUUUGUUAGUCAAGGCUUCAAAAUGAAAUCAAUAACAACUUUUAAAAGGAAUAAACACAACAUUUUUUUCCCUUCAACUUUUAUAGUGCAAUGUUUUUUACACCAAACUUUUAGCAAUAUUUUGCUCUUCAUUUACUUUUCUCCUGUCGGUGAAGUUGACUUCUAAUAGUGAGGAUGUAUCAUAAAAUUACACUUUUUCUUCCACCCUCCUUUACUGAACUUGGUGAUGACCGCCCCCUUCAAAAGAUGGCCUGACUCUUCCAGAAUCAAGCCUGAUUACCCAUCUCUAGGACACUAAGACGUGCCCAACUUCAAAAGAAGCAGAGACAAUCACGGGUGGGGUGGUGCAUUGUGGUGAAGAGGUGAGAGAGCCGCGUCGGCUCGGGCCAGACUGAACUGUCUCAGCCAGGGGGCCGGGGCUAUUAAAAGAUAAAUGUAUUUCUCUGUUGCAUUAUUCAUGAUGUGAGGGGAGCUUAGUAUAGCAGUGACUCCCUUCUCUGCCUCAUCAGGGCAAAGGCCCCCCUAGUGCACCCGCUGCACCUACACCCUUAUGCAAGAGAGGGUGGGUGCAGAGGGGGUGAUAGGGGCAGCAGCUGUAGAACAGAGAGGAUGAGAUAGAAAGAUAAUGCAACAGCAUGUAUGCCCACGCACGCAUAUUAAAUAUAUCUUUGCAUGUAAACCUAAAUAAACCUGAAUGAAGACAA